rnacentral:lncRNA from 1 species
AUGUACAAACAUAUGACCAGAAUUAGAGCUCAUGUGCAUACACAAGCAGAUAUUCGUAAGGAAUCCAGAGAGAAAAAUUGGAAGCAGCCUAAGAAAAAGCAUGGCCCUGGCAGUCCCUCCACUUCUAGAAUGCUUAUGCUCCACGAGCUCAUCCAAUUAGAGCACCAGGCCUGGUGCUGUGAAGUCACCGCUAUCAGAAUCGGUACCUGGAGGAGAAUAGGUGAGACGGGCUGAUUUCUAUCAUCAGAUCCAAGUGACUGCUCCAGACAGGGAGCUGCCAAAGUACAGCAGCACGCUCCGGGCCCAGCAGAUACCCAGAUGGGCUAGAGAGUGUCAGGAGGCUGGGCCUGAGGAAAUUUAAAGAAAUUUAAAUGAAAGAAAACUAAAUCUAGUGGAAUAUUUCCUUUCUGUCUUCCUCCUUUUUUGUCCUCCAUGGAAACCUGGUGUGAGAGAUCACACUGCGUCUUGACCAGAUGGACUUAGGUAGUCUUACGGGGGAGGCUGAAAGAAUUGCUAGCGAAUAUGCAUGAGGAUAAGUAUAAGUUUUGGAGAUAAGUAUGAGUAAAUGUUGAGGCUGAGGAAUUUUGUAAGUGACAGAAACAAGUGCUUUGAAGGAAAAAUUAAUCACUAAGAUUUGCCUUGUUUGUCAGCUAAGGAAGCAGAUUUCAGAGCUUUUAGGAAAACAUUGUUUUAGCUCAUGUCAGUGACUACAGCCCUUUUCCUGACUGGCUCUUUUCCUCAUCAACACACCAGAAGAGAUCAGGCUGGGCUUUUGGGGAAGGGCCAGGUGAGGUUUCCUAAGGUUUGGCCAGGGCCCCUCCUCCUCCCUUCUUCCUUCUUCCUCAGCCGGUCAGGGGCUGUGCCUCUGCUUCCAUCUUGGGUUGACACCAAGUUCUGAGGAAAUCUCCUUAUUUUCCAAUCUUUUCUCCAGGAGCACACCGUGUGAGGAGGCGAUUUUACUAUGUCACCAAAUUCAAAUAUAGACAGGACAUCCUAACUGAGAAGGUUUGGUUGACAGAGUGACUGGAUUGCAUGGGAAUUGUCAGAAGGCCUGUGACUCUG